GCGUCAGUAGUGCAAAGCAAUGGCAAGGGUUAGAGCACGCACUCCCGGAUAGGGUGAGAUGUGGGCUCGAGUCCCGCCUGACGCG